UUGACUACUUUCUCUGGCUUUUCUCAGCAGUGCAAAAACUCCAUCUCUGCCUCCUGCUCGCUUGGGUUUCUGGAGGCUACUGGACUUGGCACAUGGAGGAGGAAUUCACUUCCCAUCUUGUGGGGCUGGAUCAAGGAGCCGUUGGCCUGGCAGGGCCUUUCCAGUGGUGGCCUGCGGGAGGCUCUGAGAGGCACAGAGGGUGGACUUUAUAAUACUUGAAACAUGGUUUUGCAAUACUGUUGCACUGUGUAGUUAACAUGGGUUUUCUUGUAUUUAUUUUAAAUUUGUUUUUUCAAUUGUGUUGCUAAUAAUUUCCCACAAACCUUCAAGAAAAAGCCUCUCUUUCAGAAACCAGGACUGGCAGGAGAGCAUUCAACACAUUAUAGAUAACAGUUUCAUUUUUAGCUGUUCUCAAACUUUGGUGAACAAAGGAAAUAGUCAAGCCAACCUUGGGAAGCGCCGAGAAUGUAUCUUACCCAACCCAUUUGGAUGUUUUUCCUUUGCAAAUGUUUCUUUUGCUUUUGCUGAGCACACAAUGCCCUUUCCUAUGGCUAUGCUGUAAUUCUUGUGAUGUAACUGAACAGAUGACUAUUCCUAAACCAAUCUGCUUUUGCUUUGAAGCUCUAACUAUAAAGGUAGAUGUAAUCCAUUUCUCUGGGUUCCCCCUUUUCAUAGGGAGACCGAACUUUAUCAGAGUACUCUAAUAAAUUGCUUUUAAGUGA